AACUCUGGAGAGGGUGGGGUAAAGCCAAGAGGGAAAAAGGACAUGAUAAAAGGGAGAGAUGUUUGCCAUGCUCCUCUCUUUUCCACCUCCAUCUACAGACACCACCACCAAGCAACUGAAGCGCUGAUCAAAGGGGAGAGCCUGGCUGAAGGGCAA